rnacentral:rRNA from 1 species
GAGUUUGAUCGUGGCUCAGGAUGAACGCCGGCGGCGUGCUUAACACAUGCAAGUCGAACGAUGAGGCUCAGCUUGCUGGGUGGAUUAGUGGCGAACGGGUGAGUAACACGUGAGUAACCUGCCCUUGACUCUAGGAUAAGCCCGGGAAACUGGGUCUAAUACUGGAUAGGAACGUCUACCGCAUGGUGGGUGUUGGAAAGAAUUUCGGUCAUGGAUGGACUCGCGGCCUAUCAGCUUGUUGGUGAGGUAAUGGCUCACCAAGGCGACGACGGGUAGCCGGCCUGAGAGGGUGACCGGCCACACUGGGACUGAGACACGGCCCAGACUCCUACGGGAGGCAGCAGUGGGGAAUAUUGCACAAUGGGCGAAAGCCUGAUGCAGCGACGCCGCGUGAGGGAUGACGGCCUCGGUUGUAACCGUAC